CUUGCCACGCCAGAGCUGUGGUAAUGAAUGUGGGGUUUUUAUGCUUAUGUAUACCCUUUGCUCUGUGACCGGUGUGGCAAUUGAAUUCCAGGAGCGGUUUGCCUUCUGGACCGAUGAGGCCAGAAACUUGCUCCAAGGAAAACUUCAGCCAGUGUACAGGGUGCCAAAAAAGUGUGCCAUCUCUGAGGAAAUCCCACUUCACAUUCAGGCUGUUCCACAACAGAGGAAAAAAGAAUUGUCGACUUUAUUGUAAAGUUA